CCUGAAUGCUCACCCUAAAUGUACCUGAUCUCGUAUGAUCUUGGAAGCUAAGCAGGAUCAGGCCUGGUUAGUACUUGGAUGGGAGAAAAGCAGAGUAGUUAGGA
rnacentral:rRNA from 1 species